rnacentral:rRNA from 1 species
CUACGGGUCGCAGCAGUCGAGAAUCUUUAGCAAUGCCCGAAAGGGUGACUAUGCGACGCCGCGUGAGCGAUGAAGACCUUCGGGUUGUAAAGCUCUGUCAGGUGGGAUGAAUACUCUGCUCUGAAUAGGGGUAGAGCUUGACAGUACCACCAGAGGAAGCCACGGCUAACUCCGUGCCAGCAGCCGCGGUAAUACGGAGGUGGCAAGCGUUGUUCGGAUUUACUGGGUGUAAAGGGCAUGUAGGUGUUCUAGUAAGUUCUGGUUGAAAUCCUUCGGCUUAACCGAAGAACGUGUCAGAAUACUGCUAGGAUUGAGGACGGAAGAGGAGAACGGAAUUCCCGGUGUAAGGGUGAAAUCUGUAGAUAUCGGGAGGAACACCAGUGGCGAAAGCGGUUCUCUGGUCCGUAUCUGACACUGAAAUGCGAAAGCUAGGGGAGCAAACAGGAUUAGAUACCCGGGUAGUC